UGAUAGGCGACCACUGUAACUGUGACUGAAGCUCUGCUGGUUCCUAUAGUUGCUUAACAUGCUUUCCACAAUUCUUUAAGGCCCUUUGCUGUGAUCUAGUGCAUGCACUCUGGAAAAUGUUGGUGGAAUCAGCACCUUGGGGAGGCAGAUGCUGUUUGCAUUCCUGGCCUGGCUGCCUCCUCCAGCAAGCAGUCAUUCUGUUAUCAGUUCUGUAGCCACAUCUUCAUCUCUGACUCAAAUUCCUCUGCUCCAUCUUUUACGUAUAAGGACCUCUGUGAUGACAUCGGACCUACCAGGAU
rnacentral:lncRNA from 10 species